rnacentral:misc_RNA from 1 species
UGAACUCAUAAAUUUUAUUACAGUUUUGUGUGUUUUACUUAUUACAGGAAGUGAGCAAUUGAUGCUUGUAAUUCUUCCAACAUUUUCCCCUUGGUCUCUGGCACUACCUUGGCAAUGAACAUAAUAGUCGAAGCGCAAAUGCUCGAGAAUAUGAAAAAUGUUCCUGCAGAGCUCCAUUCCACUAUAAAGUUGAAAGCAAAUGAAACAAUCCAAGCGCUUGUCCAAUUGAUUAGAGUCAUAACACUUACAGCAGUUCUCUUGAUGUUAAUGGGAAAUAUCUCUGACAUUACAACCCAUGGUAUCCCAGGCAUGCCUAAUGAGUAAGUUGUGCUAAACCCCAGUAUGCCAAUGUACACUAGAAUGGAAGUGGUCUCAUUUGACUUGUUGAAGUCUUGCUCAUACGAGAAUUAAGAUUUUCAGAGAAUGACUUAUAUCUAUAGGCAUCAAAUCGUGCCAAGUAUCUAUUUUGAUUUGUUGUCAAACCUGCAAGCAAAAUGCUAGUCUUAUAAGGAAGCAGCUUAAGCACAUGCGAGAGGCAGAAGCCUGCAAACAUUUGAAGUAGGCUCAACACCUAUUGUUUUAUCAGCUGCAUAGCAAACUUGAAAUCAAAUUUUGAGGUGUUCUAACCAAGAGAAGUGGCUGCCUUCCAGCUCUAUCUAUUAAUAGUACAGAAACAGCAGUAGCUGGAAUCUGCAAAAGAAAGUCUAGCAUGACGUCAAAUGCAUAAAACAGAAUCCUUCCUUCAUAGUUAAAAUAGCAAGUACCCGGACAAUGGCCUUCGAAAUUAGCCCAACACUACUUGAAAAAUCUGUCAUCAACCAGGCAUUUAUCUUAGUGUUCUUCAAUUUUAUGCAUGGUUAACUACGGUGAUGAAUAAAAUAAAGCCUUUAAUUUUACCAGAUUUUUUCAAAAGGAGCUGGCAUAAAAUGCAAUUGCAUUGUUCCCUCCAAAUUGUUGCAAUAGCAAUAGCUCGGCAACAGCCUAAAAUAAUCCAUGGAUUAUCAGACCAUUCAUGAAGAGGAGACUUGCCAAACUUCAGAAUUUUAUUUUAAGACUCACAAUGAGAGCAAGAGCAUAUCUUCCCUUGAACAAGUCUAAAAGUCUAGCUUCUGAAUGUCCUUGAAAAGUCUUUGUAUAAUCUCUAAUAUAUGCUGCUUUGUGUUGAAUAUUGACAUUCUUUCCUCUGAGGCACUGGAGAGCGAGCUCCAAUUGUUUUUCUCGACCAACCUUAGCCUAUAGAUGGUUGUACUCUUUAGCCAACCAAUAUGAUGAAUGUGCACCACAUUAUUUCUGCGUCAAUAAUUCUAUUAAGGGGGUAAAGGAGUUUGCAAAGUACACUUUCCGUCUGUCCUCUAUGCUAAUGUUUGAAUCGUCUAGGAUCAAGUGAAACAAUGAAAGCAGCAAAAAUUUUGACUUUCUGUUUCAUAUACCACAACCAAAGAAUUUUGACAAAAUUUUAAGGGAUUACCAACCAUCUAGGAGACUCUGGAAUGAAGAAUACACCCACAACAUGCAAUGCACAUGAAACAUCACCUUAGAAUCCGAAAAAAAAAUUUUAGCAAUCUUCAUACUUUUCCAACACAAAAAUCAGUGGAAAUAGAGGGUGAGAAGAUUUUACUAAUUAGAGCGAAAGUGCGCCAUUAAACAAUAGUUCCAAUAAAAUAUACUAGUGAAAAGCCACAGCAUAGCAUGAACUGCACAAUUGUCAAAACAUAAAUGCAAGAAGAACGAGUUGAUAGGAUAUAAUUAAAGGUUUAAUUAAAGUCAUGGUGGUAGUAUAUUACCUGGUUAGCAGCAAUAAAUCCUCCACGAGCGUUCUUAGGUGUUAUUUCUGCAAU